rnacentral:rRNA from 1 species
UACGAAGGGGGCUAGCGUUGCUCGGAAUCACUGGGCGUAAAGCGCACGUAGGCGGAUUGUUAAGUCAGGGGUGAAAUCCUGGAGCUCAACUCCAGAACUGCCUUUGAUACUGGCGAUCUUGAGUCCGGGAGAGGUGGGUGGAACUGCGAGUGUAGAGGUGAAAUUCGUAGAUAUUCGCAAGAACACCAGUGGCGAAGGCGGCUCACUGGCCCGGUACUGACGCUGAGGUGCGAAAGCGUGGGGAGCAAACAGG